AUGUUGAUGUAUGCACUCAGCCUGAGCACAGAGGCUCCAUUUUGGUUCAUUGAGAGGGACAUGGCACGCAUCCAGAUUGACGGCCAUGGACAGAGGUUUGCAUACUGGACUAAUGAGGCCAGAGCAUUGCUCCAAGGUUCACUGCAGCCGAUAUACAGGGUCCCAAAGGUCAGCAAGAGGGAACAUGGGGUGAGCAUGAUGAUGGCAGAGGACACCCAGUGGCCUUAUCCUGUCUUGAUUAAUUCAUUAAAAAAAACAUAA
rnacentral:lncRNA from 1 species